ensembl:lncRNA
UGCUGUAUAACAGAGCGAUGGAUCAUGAUACAGGCUUCUUUGUUAUCACUAUCAGAGUCAUGUGAUGAGGGGGCUGGUGUGACCUAACGGACCGACCACACGUGAUGGAAACAGGCUGAAAUAGGGACUGCUUUGUGCUGGUUAGUCCCUGGAGGGACCAGUGCUCCCUGAGCUGAGCCUGUCACCAGCUCAAUCUAAGCCUGAUGUGCUGGAGGAACAGGAGGACAGAGGGGGAACAGCCGGAUAUGAAGCUACACCAGAAGGUAUGACACACCAAUGGAGCUGAGGAGCAACACCCCGAG